CUUGAAGUAAAAAAGAGCCUGGCUUUCCCGAUGAAGGGGACAUAGGGAGGAGAUUGCUCUUUGGAGAUGGCCCUAAUGUGAAGGUGAUGUUAUAGCUCUUCACAAGUCCAGCAGAAGGCAGUGAGACAGCAAGAGCAGGAGAUACCUCCAGGUGAGUUUAAUACUUGGUGUGCUGUUAGUUUAACGUGAUGGGGUUUGUCUGCAGUCUCAGAAACAUGACCUACAUGAGAGCAGUCCCAUUGGCUGUGUUUCUGUCUGUAUAUUCUUAGCUCUAGAAGUAUAAUAAUUGAAGUUCUAGGCCAAAAAGUAUUUUGUAAUAAAGCAUGGGCAGCAGAUGCGUAAGAGCCGUUGUCUUUCGCACUGCGGUUUUGCUUGCUAAGGUUCUGUAGAGCA